rnacentral:rRNA from 2 species
GUCUACGGCCAUACCACCCUGAACAUGCCCAGUCUCGUCUGAUCUCGGAAGCUAAGCGGGGUCGGGCCUGGUUAGGCC